rnacentral:lncRNA from 1 species
GGGUCCUUUCUCGAGAUAGGUCAAUUUACUGCUUUCGUCUUCUCGCCUCUUGGCUUAGCUUAUUCCUCAGCUUUUAUAUUGACUCCCUGGCUGCUCUUGUAGAUUGGGCACCAGAUCUUCGCCAACAUCAAGGCGAUGAACAAUGCUAGGAAGGAGGCCGCCCAAGCGGAGGAAGGUCACCUGGCCGAGGCCGCCCGCCUCAAGGAGAAGAUCGUCGAAGUCGUGAGUCUCCAAGAGGUGCUGCAGAAGGAAGAGCAGACCUCGGCAGACUUGAGGGCCAUCUUGGAGGAGGAAAGAAAGAAAGCAGAGGCCGAGGUCUCCGAGUUGAAGGUGCACAUCCCGAC